rnacentral:rRNA from 1 species
CUGCGAGUGAAGCGGGAAAAGCUCAAAUUUAAAAUCUGGCGGUCUUCGGCCGUCCGAGUUGUAGUCUGGAGAAGCGUCUUCCGCGUCGGACCGUGUACAAGUCUCUUGGAACAGAGCGUCAUAGAGGGUGAGAAUCCCGUCUUUGACACGGACUACCGAUGCUUUGUGAUGCGCUCUCAAAGAGUCGAGUUGUUUGGGAAUGCAGCUCAAAAUGGGUGGUAAAUUCCAUCUAAAGCUAAAUAUUGGCGAGAGACCGAUAGCGAACAAGUACCGUGAGGGAAAGAUGAAAAGCACUUUGGAAAGAGAGUUAAACAGUACGUGAAAUUGCUGAAAGGGAAACGAUUGAAGUCAGUCGCGUCGUUCAGAACUCAACCUUGCCUUCGGGCUCGGUGCACUUUCUGUUUGACGGGCCAGCAUCAGUUUUGACUGUCGGAAAAAGGUCUUCGGAAUGUGGCACCUCCGGGUGUGUUAUAGCCGUCGGUCGUAUACGACGGUCGGGACUGAGGACCGCCUUAGGAUGCUGGCGUAAUGGCUUUAAACGACCCGUCUUGAAACACGGACCAAGGAGUCUAACAUGCAUGCGAGUGUUUGGGUGGAAAACCCGAGCGCGUAAUGAAAGUGAAAGUUGGGAUCCCUGUCGUGGGGAGCACCGACGCCCAUACCAGACCUUCUGUGACGGAUAUGCGGUAGAGCAUGUAUGUUGGGACCCGAAAGAUGGUGAACUAUGCCUGAAUAGGGUGAAGCCAGAGGAAACUCUGGUGGAGGCUCGUAGCGAUUCUGACGUGCAAAUCGAUCGUCAAAUUUGGGUAUAGGGGCGAAAG